rnacentral:rRNA from 1 species
UACAGAGGGCUCAAGCGUUGUUCGGAUUCAUUGGGCGUAAAGGGUGCGUAGGUGGCAGGGUAAGUCGGAUGUGAAAUCCCGGGGCUCAACCUCGGAACUGCAUUCGAUACUGCUUUGCUGGAGUACUGGAGAGGAGAUUGGAAUUUACGGUGUAGCAGUGAAAUGCGUAGAUAUCGUAAGGAAGACCAGUGGCGAAGGCGGAUCUCUGGACAGUUACUGACACUGAGGCACGAAGGCCAGGGGAGCAAACGGG